UACGAAGGGGGCUAGCGUUGUUCGGAAUUACUGGGCGUAAAGCGCACGCAGGCGGCUCGUUAAAUUAGAAGUGAAAGCCCCGGGCUUAACCUGGGAAUUGCUUUUAAGACUGGCGAGCUAGAAUCCAGAAGAGGGUAGUGGAAUUCCGAGUGUAGUGGUGAAAUUCGUAGAUAUUCGGAAGAACGCCAGUGGCGAAGGCGACUACCUGGUCUGGCAUUGACGCUCAUGCGCGAAAGCGUGGGGAG
rnacentral:rRNA from 1 species